UACGUAGGUGGCAAGCGUUGUCCGGAAUUAUUGGGCGUAAAGCGCGCGCAGGCGGCUCCUUAAGUCUGAUGUGAAAGCCCACGGCUCAACCGUGGAGGGUCAUUGGAAACUGGGGAACUUGAGUGCAGAAGAGAAAAGCGGAAUUCCACGUGUAGCGGUGAAAUGCGUAGAGAUGUGGAGGAACACCAGUGGCGAAGGCGGCUUUUUGGUCUGUAACUGACGCUGAGGCGCGAAAGCGUGGGGAGCAAACAGG
rnacentral:rRNA from 1 species